rnacentral:rRNA from 1 species
CCUACGGGAGGCAGCAGUGGGGAAUAUUGCACAAUGGGGGAAACCCUGAUGCAGCGACGCCGCGUGAGUGAAGAAGUAAUUCGGUAUGUAAAGCUCUAUCAGCAGGGAAGAAAAUGACGGUACCUGAGUAAGAAGCCCCGGCUAACUACGUGCCAGCAGCCGCGGUAAUACGUAGGGGGCAAGCGUUAUCCGGAUUUACUGGGUGUAAAGGGAGCGUAGACGGCAGUGCAAGUCUGGAGUGAAAGGCGGGGGCUCAACCCCCGGACUGCUCUGGAAACUGUACGGCUGGAGUGCAGGAGAGGUAAGUGGAAUUCCUGGUGUAGGGGUGAAAUGCGUAGAUAUUAGGAGGAACACCAGUGGCGAAGGCGGCUUACUGGACUGUAACUGACGUUGAGGCUCGAAAGCGUGGGGAGCAAACAGGAUUAGAUACCCCUGUAGUC